UGGUUGGUGCACCCCAGUGGUGGACUGCUGGAGCUGCUGCGUACAACGUUGACCUUGUGCCCUUGGUCGGGGUGGAAGUCGCUCUGUUUGCCUUCCUGGAAUCCAAGCGCUACGAGGGGUACAAGAAGAC
rnacentral:SRP_RNA from 1 species